rnacentral:misc_RNA from 1 species
GAUGAAGAACGUAGCGAAAUGCGAUAAGUAAUGUGAAUUGCAGAAUUCAGUGAAUCAUCGAAUCUUUGAACGCACCUUGCGCCCUUUGGCCAUUCCGAAGGGCAUGCCUGUUUGAGUAUCAUGAACACCUCAACUCUCAUGGCUUGCCAUGAUGAGCUUGGACUUUGGGGGUCUUGCUGGCCUGUGGUCGGCUCCUCUCAAAUGAAUCAGCUUGCCAGUGUUUGGUGGCAUCACAAGUGUGAUAACUAUCUGCGCUCGUGGUUUCCAUCAGAUAACCUCCAGUGAUGGAGGUUCGCUGGAGCUCAUAAAUGUCUCUCCUAAGCGAGGACAGCUCUUUUAAUGUUUGAUCUCAUCAGGUAGGACUACCCGCUGAACUUAAGCAUAUCAAUAAGCGGAGGA